CUUCGUCAUCGUCGACUGCGAUGCCAGAGCCUGAGCCUCGAGUCCGGCAAGAGAGUCCACCUGCUUACACCGACAUUCUGCGAGAGCAGCAAGAAGAGUUGCCUUCCUACGUUGAAGCAAUGAGACGCCCCAUGAACUCCACACCCCGAACAAACCCCGCUUACGUCAUCGACAUCACCUGACCAAUAUCAACAAUAAAGCGCCACGUCAUGAUAUAUCA